rnacentral:ncRNA from 1 species
UCAAAGACUUUGAAAGAGAAAUAGUAGAUUAAGUAUGGUGGCCACCUGAGAGGAAUCGGUUGGAGCAAGAUUCCCGUACAUAUUUAAUUGAAUUACCCUCUUGAGUUGUAAGCUGAAAAUAGUAAGCUGAGCCGGGUUCGAUCCGUUAUAUCGAGAGAAUGUGUCGUCUCAACAGAGCAUUCAGAAUGAGGAUAUAUAUCAAUAUGAGAUGACACCCUUUACGGGUGUUUUUUGUUUAUAUAUAUCAAAACAAGGUGGUAUCGCGUAUCUAACGCCCUUGUA